CUCAGCAGAAGUGCUGGGGGGAUCUUUUGACCCAGCUGAGCUGCCAGCAGAGAAGUGUGGGGGCAUGCCAAAGGACAUGUUCCCUGGAUACAGACCAGUCUGUUUCCUUAGAUUGCCCUGCACCCAGAAGCUGGCCUAUUAAGAACUAGGAUGCAGGACUCAUCAAUGAAGGGGAGGCAGCUGGGGACCAGGCAACAGGACGUGGAGAGCAUGUGGCCACUCCUUAGUGAUAGCUACGUCUGCCACCUGGCCAGGGAGUCCAUUUUUCUAGAGGCAAUGAAAUAUCUGACUGCAGAGAACAAGUCAGGUCUAGUUCUCUGUACCAGGGACACAGAGGGGUUGAAACCCCCAGCUGCACCGUUGGUAAGGAUCUGAGUACCUAACUAGCACUCACCAAGAUGCAAACGCCUCCCCCAGCAAACUAGACGGGGAUGGGAGUCAAGUCCAGGAAAGCUGUGCUCCAAGUCCCUUUCCAACUGUGUGAAUCCUCUGAACCUCAGCGUCCUCAUCUACAGAGAAAACAAUCAUCUCCAGAUCACACUUCAUCUCCUAAGGGCUUUCUAAACUCUUGAAUCCCUCAGGACACUCCUGAUCAUGGACUAUUAAGUUAUUUCAGAUGUGUGAUGCUCAACUUCAGGAUUACAUUUGAAUUACAACCGUGAAGCCUUCCUCAGGGCUUUUCCCAGCCUACCUAAUCCUAAGAAUCACUGAGGGAAAAAAAAAAAAAAAAAAAAAA